AGCUGCUGUGAAGACCCAGGAGGCUGAUAAGAAAAGUAUGCAACCACAAGAAGCCUUGGUAUCAUUUAUCUUUUAAACAGGGCUACUGGAAGAAUGGACUAGUAUUUGCACAAGAUUCUGAAGCCUUUUAAUGGAAGAUGCUAUCCAUUUUGCACUGCCAAUGGGGUAUUUUAUCUGAAGAUCAAAGUAUGGAGCAUCAGCCCUACUACUGAACAACAGAGGCUCCAUCUUUGGAUAUGAGCAUAAGCAGCAACUCUCCUGGGGGAACAUAAAGGAAAGCAUGAAAAGAUGCAAAACCCACCACCGGCUGCAGUCAAAAAUGUUAAAAGCCCA